UACGAAGGGGGCUAGCGUUGCUCGGAAUUACUGGGCGUAAAGCGCACGUAGGCGGCUUUCUAAGUCGGGGGUGAAAUCCUGGAGCUCAACUCCAGAACUGCCUUCGAUACUGGAGAGCUCGAGUCCGGGAGAGGUGAGUGGAACUGGCGAGUGUAGAGGUGAAAUUCGUAGAUAUUCGCAAGAACACCAGUGGCGAAGGCGGCCACCUGGACAACAACUGACGCUG
rnacentral:rRNA from 1 species